UACGUAGGGAGCAAGCGUUGUCCGGAAUCAUUGGGCGUAAAGCGCGCGUAGGCGGCCCUGUAAGUCCGUUGUGAAAGUCAAAGGCUCAACCUUUGAAAGCCGAUGGAUACUGCAGGGCUAGAGUCCGGAAGAGGCGAGUGGAAUUCCUGGUGUAGCGGUGGAAUGCGCAGAUAUCGGGAGGAACACCUGUGGCGAAGGCGGCCCCCUGGUUGGAUACUGACGCUGAUACGCGAAAGCGUGGGGAGCAAACAGG
rnacentral:rRNA from 1 species